GGCAGGCAUCCGGACAAGCCCGGGCUUCCCCAGUGGGGUAGGAUGACGGGGCAGGGGUGGCCACAGGGCCCGGGCCACCCCCUGCUGUCCAGCCGCCCUCCUGCGUGGUCCCGUGUGGUCCCCUCCGGCCCUGGCUUCGGCUUCUGCCCAUUCCCACCUCAUGACCCCAGCGGCCUUCAGAGCCAGCCCAUCUCUGCAGCCAGUCCUGGCUCACGUGCCUUGCCGCGCGCCUGGUUCCUCACCUUUCUUUUUCUCCCUUUCUUUGUCUAGACUAAACUCCUUGAGGGUUUAAUCUACCUUACACACAAUUCAAGGGAGAGAUGCGAAAGUUAAGCCAAAUAGCCAUGAAGAUCGAGCGCAAACAAUAGCCAUUCCAACAUGUUCCAGAAGAAAUAAUGAGAAUGAACAUUCACUGAAUGCCAACCCUUCUGAACAUCAGAGGCACUUUGCUCCCUCCUGAAUGCGGAAGCAGGAGACAAUACAGGCGUGUCCCCUGGGAGAACCAAGGGGUGUCCUGGGGACCCCGUGUGUAUGGAGGCCAGCCCUGUCUCCCCAGAAUGGCUGACCUGCUCCUUUGCUGGCUCGGCGAGGACCCUGCAGCUGGGAAGCAUCUUUCAAACAGGCCAGCCGGCUGUGUUCCCCUCGUGGUGACACAAGAGGACAAGUCUCAGCUGCAGAAAGUCACUGACCACCAUCAGCCUGAGCAGGCCUGUCCAGCCCGACGCCGCUGGGGCAGGGCGGCCCCUGACCCUGGGCGAGGCUGGGGGGCUGGCGAGCAGCUGCCGAACCGUCAUCCAGACUCUCGUAGUGAGGCUGUGACAGCUGGGAUGGACACCAGCCCCCCGGGCCACAGAGGGAAGGAAGGCAGUGGUGCUGGCCUGAGUUAGCCCGAACGGGCCACCUCGGACCCAGUUCCCGCCCCAGCCAGAGCCGUUCCACACACAGUUCCAGGCACCCCAAAAGGAGCCAUUUCGCAGAGUCCUGCCCCGAGCACAGGGGAGCACUCCUGUGCCUCUCAACGAGGAGGGUGGGCACGGCUCUGGGGGCCACCCUGCAGGCCCAGGAAGGUCAUGUGCCCUACAGGGGUGCGGAGGGAGAGCCACGGGAGCACGGGGACCCACGGCGCCCCUUCUCUGCCCACGCGGUGGGGGGACACCUGGGAUGCCCACGGUGGGGCCUUGGGAGGGCCUGGCUGGCAGAGACAUGCGCCCCCGAGGCUGGUACCCCCUGCUGUCCCUGUCCCCCCGGUAGCAACGGGUCAUACCUUUGCUACAGAACUCAAGAAACGACGGAGGGAAAAAAAUGAAUAUUCCAGGAUGGCCUAACCCAGCUGGUUCACUUCAAUGUCUUAAAAAAUAAAUGUUUUCCCACUCAUUUCGUUUCCUUAUCUCAGCCUUUUUUGGAGCGAUUUUAGGAUUACAGAAAAAUGUGGUGGAGAAUAGGGACAGUCCCCAUACACUGCUCCCCUGUUGUGAACAUCCUGUGUCAAUGUGCUACGUUUGUUACAACCGGUGAGCCCAUUCGGGCUUGCUACUAACUCAGACCUGUGUACGUGGCAGCCUGGCCAAGGGUCGUGGGAAAAGGCGGAGUGAGGGGCGGCCGGGGCGGGAGCGGCUCGGCACCAGUGUCCUGGCCUUCUCAGAACCGAAACCCGGGCAGUGUUUAAAAAGACAGUGAAGGAGCAGUGGGAAAUGGGAUCCCACAGCAUCCGAGCCCCCUGGCGAGCCUGAGAACACUCCAGGGUGCUUGCCAACCCCUUCCCUCCCCGUGCCCCCACACUCCUGCAGGGACGCGGGGGGCUCCCCGCUCUCGCAGGACGGGGCCCUUCGCACAAAGGGGGCACGCUGCCCUCCCUGGAGCCUGGAGCCCGGGGGACCAGCCUCCAGCCGGCUGCCGAGGG